AUUUUUUACACAAUUUUUUUUUUUUUUUUUUUUUUAAAUUUUGGUUGUAGAAAGUAAUGCUCGGAUCGGAUGCUGAUAAAGUGUAGGAAAAGGAUAGAGAAGAGAAAAUUGAAUUUUUUUUCCCUUUCUAUUUUUGCAUAAUUCCAAUGCGUUACUGCAACCAUUUUGAUUGUUUGAGGUGAGUAAAACGAUUUUUUAAUUUUUUUUAAAUAUUGUUUGAUUGCUUGAGUUAUUUAUUUAUUUAUUAUUAUUUUUUUUAUCAUAAUCUCAAAUAAUGAGUAAAUUCUUUUUCGAGAUUCGUGUGUAAUUAUUUCAGGGUUCUUUUUAGCCCCCCUCCCCCCAAUCUUCUUGUGGGAAUGAUACUCUCAUCUUACGUUGGUCCAAAAUUUUUAUAGUUUUCAAUAUGCCUGAUCCAUUUUGUAAUAUUCUAAAUUAAGUAUAGGAAGAUGGUGAAUGAGAUCCACAUUGCUUGGGAGAGAGAAGUUCUUGCCCUCUUGAUUCCAAGGGGCUCCAAUUGUAACCUACUAGCCCUUUUGGGGUAUGAUCUUAGUUGUGGCUUUGGGCCUUCCUUGGGUCGUUACACAUCUGUUGAGGAACAAUGCCAAAUCGACUUUUACCUUCUCCCCCUCUGGUGUGGGAGGGGGAGGAUGAUGCACAGAUGUAAGUUUUGAUGUACGUCUGGUCUGUGGAAAAAGUUGUCUAGUAGUUUGGCACUCAAUUUUUCAGUAAUUUCAGUUCUUUUGACAGAUGGGGUUGGGGGGUAUUACAACUUUGUUGGAGA